AGAUUGAACGCUGGCGGCAUGCCUUACACAUGCAAGUCGAGCGGUAGAGUAGCAAUACUCGAGAGUGGCGAACGGGUGAGUAAUAUAUCGGAACGUGCCCAGUCGUGGGGGAUAACGUAGAGAAAUUUACGCUAAUACCGCAUACGAUCUAAGGAUGAAAGCGGGGGAUCGCAAGACCUCGCGCGAUUGGAGCGGCUGAUAUCAGAUUAGGUUGUUGGUGAGGUAAAAGCUCACCAAGCCGACGAUCUGUAGCUGGUUUGAGAGAACGACCAGCCACACUGGGACUGAGACACGGCCCAGACUCCUACGGGAGCAGCAGUGGGAAUUUGGACAAUGGGCGAAAGCCUGAUCCAGCAAUGCCGCGUGCAGGAAGAAGGCCUUCGGUUGUAAACUGUCUUUUGUACGGUAACGAAAGCUAUUUCUAAGUAAAGAGGCCAAUGACGUACCGUAAGAAUAGACACCGACUAACUACGUGCCGAGCGAGACCG
rnacentral:rRNA from 1 species